AGAGAGCUUGCUCUCUGGGUGACGAGCGGCGGACGGGUGAGUAAUGUCUGGGAAACUGCCUGAUGGCGGGGGAUAACUAGUGGAAACGGUAGCUAAUACCGCAUAACGUCGCAAGACCAAAGUGGGGGACCUUCGGGCCUCACGCCAUCAGAUGUGCCCAGGUGGGAUUAGCUGGUAGGUGGGGUAACGGCUCACCUAGGCGACGAUCCCUAGCUGGUCUGAGAGGAUGACCAGCCACACUGGAACUGAGACACGGUCCAGACUCCUACGGGAGGCAGCAGUGGGGAAUAUUGCAC
rnacentral:rRNA from 1 species